CGAAAAAAACCCGCACCUGAAAAAAAUCUACGAAAAUAAACCUACGCCCCGACCGCAGCCCGCGGGUCGCCCGCUCCCUCGCGCCCCUGUUGCUCCCUCCUCGAUCCCGAUCUGGAUCGAGGGGACGAGGAGCUCCUGCCUCCCCGACGGCCGGCCUCCUCCUCGCCCUGCCGCUCCGUCUAGCGCCGCCACAGCCUCUAGAGCCAGGGAAGCCAUGGCCUAAGAUCGGCCUCGAGGUCCCCGCCGCCGUCUCCUGCAGCUUAUGCCCCGCCGCCUCACCGCCCGAGCUCGCCGUCACACCAACCUCGGCGUCGCGCCGCCGCUGGCUCUGGUCGCCUCCACCUCCGCUCCAGGCAACCCUCGGUCGCCGGCUCGCUGGAGCACGAUGGCAGACGAUGGAUGGCCUGGUUGUGUGCGAAGGAUGCAGUUCUCACGCGCAAGCUAGGGUUGGAGCCGCCAGCUCUUCAUCCUGCCCGCCGGCGGCGAGUCUUCCUGUCCCGCACUUCCGCCUCCCCAUUAUCACAGGUUCAUCUGGUCCUUUACUCCUCACAUAAUAACUGUGAAACUUAAUGAGGAAGGUUAUCCUUUCUUCAAGGACUGGAAGUUUCCUGGUAAGUGUUCCUUUUUCUGAAAAACUCUGUGUUUGUUCGCUGUAAUAUUUUGUUUACAUAAGGUUUCUCUUUCCUUUUGUGGGCAUAAUGGGCGACACAAUAAUAUUCAGAAAAUUGUUGUUUUAGGGAAACUGCUAACUCCAUAUGUCAGACCCAUAUCAUUGUUGAGCAUGCAUAGUGUUCCUAUGUCAUUUCUAUAAUGUAUUUGUUUCCUUUUAUAUCACAGUAGUCUUCAUUUUGGCCAUGUACCUUCAAACUGAACCAAAAAUGGUUUGUCUGAUGACAUGUUUGAGGAGAUUCUUGAUAUGAAACAGUAGAUAUGAGGGUGACCGGUUUUUUUUUUUGUGCAAGUUUUGUCUGUGGAAUCUUUUUGCAGUUGAUAAGACAUGGGCUGGACUUACUUCCGAUGUGCAAUAUUUUCGGUAAAGUGAUUCAAGGUAUGUUUGAUUGUUUACUUAGGGUGGUUACUGAACCACUUUGGGAACCAAGAAAGACAUUAUGUAUGUAAAAAUAACAUAGGCCUAAAGUUCAUUUUUACAUUGAAAAUCUAUAUAUGAAAUUUUCUGUAACAAUCGAAAAUUCAUUCAUUCACUUUGUGAGAUGUCACACAACACCAUGCUCCAAAUUGUUGUCUAUCUGAUCCUUGCGGCAGAAUCAUAGACUCGUGCAUAAUUGCAUAUAUAUUGUGACUGGGCACCAGUACAUUUGCAACAUUCUAAAGUUAGUUUGUUGUGAUUUUUUACCAAAACUUUUCUUCUAUAAUUUAUAUGCAUGCUCUGAAGAAUGUGGAGACGUCAGGGACAAGGCUCACAACCCCUGCCUCCUUGUUACCAUCUGCGAGUUUUCCGGUGUUGAGCCUCUCAUUUAUUAUGUACUUAUUAUCAACACCUUUAAGUCGAUAAUAUGAAAUUGUUGCAUGUUCAUUGCUGAGGUGUCAAUACUCCUACAUUAUCCACCUCUCAGUAUAUAUAGUGUACUGAUGGCCUGCAUUUUGGUUCAGCCUUACACAAGUACAUGCCCUUCGGCAGCCUGGAGAGUCAUCUCUUUGUGAAACUGGGAAUUGGACGUGCGCUCUUCUACUUGGCUACUCGGACGUGCCCUCAGGGUACUCAGCUCAUGAGCCUCCCACUAUUCCUUGUGAAGCAGCAAAUGCAACAUACCUAAAGGGAAGCAUUUGCGCACUCACGUUUGGCAUGUUCCAUGCAGUAGACCUGUCGUCAUUGGUUGAGAUUUUGUUCAUUAGCAUAGGUUCAUGAAUGCCAAGUGCAUCCAAUCAACGUCAUCAAACUUGGGCUCUUGCACAUGUCACGCCCAAGAUGCGGCCCUAUCCUAAAGGAACUCGAAGGUCCCACCAAGGAUGGAAGCGCAUCUUGAAGACGCUUUUGCAAGGUGGAUAUCAUUACAUCAACAUUACAUAAUAGAUGGGGAUACAUACAAGGCAUACAAAUGCCGCAAGAAUAUAUUAAUACAUCAUACACUAGGUCAACAUCCGACCACGGAUGAAACACAAACAGGAACUCAAACGACAUCCACCCUGCUAGCCCAGGCUGCCGACCUGGAACCUAUCCCCUGAUCGAAGAAGCAGAAGAAGAACUCCAAAACAAGUAAACAUCGCUCUCGCGUCAUGAUCAUCGCAAAACCUGUACCUGCAACUGUUGUGUAGUAAUCUGUUAUCAAGACUAGCAAAGCUUAAUGGGUAA